rnacentral:lncRNA from 1 species
GGCGCCAUGUUUUGGAAGUUUGACCUGCACACGAGCUCGCACCUUGACACGCUGCUGGAGCGGGAGGAUCUGAGUCUGCCCGAGCUGCUGGACGAGGAGGACGUGCUGCAGGAGUGCAAGGUCGUCAACCGCAAGCUGCUGGACUUCCUGCUGCGGCCGCUGCACCUGCAGGCCAUGGUGGCCUGGGUCACCCAGGAGCCGCCGGCCAGCGGCGAGGAGCGGCUGCGCUACAAGUACCCCAGCGUGGCCUGUGAGAUCCUGACGUCGGACGUGCCCCAGAUCAACGACGCGCUGGGCGCGGACGAGUCCCUGCUGCAUCGCCUCUACGGCUUUUUGCAGAGCAGCGGCAGCCUCAACCCGCUGCUGGCCAGUUUCUUCAGCAAGGUCAUGGGCGUCCUCAUCAACCGCAAGACUGACCAGCUCGUGUCCUUCCUGCGGAAGAAGGACGACUUCGUGGACCUGCUGCUGCAGCACAUCGGCACCUCGGCCAUCAUGGACCUGCUGCUGCGCCUCCUCACCUGCGUGGAGCGGCCGCAGCUGAGGCAGGACGUGGUCAACUGGCUCAAUGAGGAGAAGAUCAUUCAGAGGCUCAUCGAGCAGAUCCACCCGUCGAAGGACGACAAUCAACAUUCCAACGCGUCCCAGUCCCUGUGUGACAUCAUCCGCCUGAGCCGGGAGCAGAUGAUCCAAGUGCAGGACAGCCCGGAGCCUGACCAGCUGCUGGCCACCCUGGAGAAGCAGGAGACCAUCGAUCAGCUCCUGAGCAACAUGCUGGAGGGGGAGCGGAGCCCGUCCGUCCUCGUGAGUGGGAUCCAGGUGCUGCUGACACUGCUGGAGCCCAGGAGGCCCAGGUCUGAGUCCAUGACUGUGAACAACUUCUUCAGUAGUGUGGAUGGACAGCUGGAGCUCCUGGCCCAGGCAACCCUGGACAGUGCCGUGUCCAGUGCGGGGGCCCUGCACGCCCUGCGCCCACGUCUUAGCUGCUUCCACCAGCUCCUGCUGGAGCCGCCUGAGCUGGAGCCGCUGCGCACAACGUGGGGCAGCCUGGCCCCACCCCUGGGCAACACGCGGUUGCACGUGGUCAAGCUGCUGGCCAGCGCCCUGAGCGCCAACGACGCUGCCCUGACCCAGGAGCUCCUGGCCCUGGAUGUGCCCAACACCAUGCUGGACCUCUUCUUCCACUACGUGUUCAACAACUUCUUGCAUGCCCAAGUGGAGGUGUGUGUGAGCACGAUGCUGAGCUCCGCGCCCCCUGCCGACAGCAGCUCAGACACGCCCCCCGAGAACCCUGUCGUGAAACAUCUGCUGCAGCGGUGCCGCCUGGUGGAGCGCAUCCUGACCUCCUGGGAGGAGAACGACCGAGUCCAGUCUGCAGGGGGCCCUCGGAAAGGCUACAUGGGCCACUUGACGAGCGUGGCCAAUGCCCUGGUGCAGAACUCGGAGAAAGGGCCCAAUGCAGAGCAGCUGCAACAGCUCCUGAAGGAGCUGCCGCAGGAGCAGCGGGAGUGCUGGGAGGCUUUCGUGUCGGGCCCCCUGGCGGAGACCAACAAGAAGAACACGGUAGACCUGGUGAACACGCACCACCUGCACUCCUCCAGCGACGACGAGGACGACAGGCUCAAGGAGUUCAACUUUCCUGAGGAGGCGGUGCUGCAGCAGGCUUUCAUGGACUUCCAGAUGCAGCGCAUGACCUCGGCCUUCAUCGACCACUUCGGCUUCAACGACGAGGAGUUCGGGGAGCAGGAGGAGAGUGUGAACGCGCCUUUCGACAAGACGGCCAGCAUCACCUUCUCCCUGAGUGCAGACGACGACAACCCCAAUGCCAACCUGCUGGAGAUCUGCUACAAGGACCGCAUCCAGCAGUUUGACGACGACGAGGAGGACGAGGAGGAGGGCCAGGGCUCUGGGGAGUCUGACGGGGAGGACGGUGCCUGGCAGGGCGGCCAGCUGGCCAGGGCGGGCCGCCUGGGCCAGGCCCCGGGCGUGCGGAGCCGGGGCAGCACGGACAGCGAGGAGGAGGACGACGACGAGGACGAGGACGAGGACAGCCGGGCCCGCGGCAGGCCCGGGCCCCCCUGCUACCCCAGUGCUGGCCGCCAGCCUCCGGGCCCCAGCUGGACAGCUGCCUUUGACCCAGUGCCUACGGACGGCCCGGCCAGCCCCCAGGACUGCAGGGACAAGGAGCCCCGCGGGGAGCGUCCGGACCUCCCAGCCCCGAGCCCGGCUGGCCCUGCAGCCCCCAGCACCCUGCAGCUCAGGUUUCAGGAUCCCGCCCCCACCUCUGCACCUCAGGAAGCCACAGACGGCAGCAAAGCAGCGGAGCCCCCGGCCCCCUGCCAGGCCCUGCUCAGCGUCGGGGACCUCCAGGCCGGCCUCAGAGGGACACGCUCCGCCCCCAGCUCCUUGGACAGUGCAACCAGAGACCCUGCUACCUCUGUCCCAGCCCCUGGGGCCCACCAGCCCCCCAAGACCCCAGAGGGGGAGAAGAGCCCAGAGUCCUCGGGGCUUCCCCAAAGCCAGAGUGCCCUGGCCCUCCAGCCACUCCCGAUGCCCAACGGCUCUGCCCCGGGAGGCCCAGCGGCCCCGGGCUCCCAGUGACUGCUUGGUCCGGUGGUGGCCACACGCUCCGUGCUCCGCGUGGACCCUGUCCGGGUGAGGGCUGGGCAGGUGCCGCAGAGGCCCUGUCGCCCAUAACCCACCCUGCCCCACCCACGUCCUGGCUGGAGUCCAGGAGGCCGGCGCCCGGGAGACAGCCCCCACUCCCCAUUGCACUGAGGAAAGAGAUUAGAGUUCUGUCUCCUAGAGUAAAGAUAGAGUGGGCUAGAGAGAGGAGAGAGCGCGCGCGAGAGAGACCUAUAUUAUAUAUUAUAUAUAUAUAUAUAUAUAUAUAUGUAUCUGAAGGGAGCAGAGUGGGCACGCAGAGAGCCAGGAAGAACGCGGGGCUGGGCGGCAGCGGUGAGGCCUUCACCCAGGCCCACUGGGGCUGCUGU